rnacentral:tRNA from 1 species
GCAUCAGUGACCGAAUGGCAAGGUCCCCGGCUUCCAUCCGGGUGCGUGUGGGUUCGAUUCCCACCUGAUGCU